rnacentral:rRNA from 1 species
UACAGAGGGGGCGAGCGUUGUUCGGAAUUACUGGGCGUAAAGGGCGCGUAGGCGGCCCGCUAAGUCGGACGUGAAAUCCCCAGGCUCAACCUGGGAACUGCGUCCGAUACUGGCAGGCUUGAAUCCGGGAGAGGGAUGUGGAAUUCCAGGUGUAGCGGUGAAAUGCGUAGAUAUCUGGAGGAACACCGGUGGCGAAGGCGGCGUUCUGGACUGCAACUGACACUGAGAAACGAAAGCCAGGGUAGCAAACGGG